rnacentral:rRNA from 1 species
AGCGAACGCUGGCGGCAGGCCUAACACAUGCAAGUCGAACGAAGUCUUCGGACUUAGUGGCGGACGGGUGAGUAUCACGUGGGAACGUGCCUUUAGGUUCUGAAUAACUCAGGGAAACUUGUGCUAAUACCGAAUGUGCCCUUCGGGGGAAAGAUUUAUCGCCUUUAGAGCGGCCCGCGUCUGAUUAGCUAGUUGGUGGGGUAAUGGCCCACCAAGGCUACGAUCAGUAGCUGGUCUGAGAGGAUGACCAGCCACAUUGGGACUGAGACACAGCCCAAACUCCUACGGGAGGCAGCAGUGGGGAAUCUUGCGCAAUGGGCGAAAGCCUGACGCAGCCAUGCCGCGUGGAUGAUGAAGGUCUUAGGAUUGUAAAAUCCUUUCACCGGUGAAGAUAAUGACUGUAGCCGGAGAAGAAGCCCCGGCUAACUUCGUGCCAGCCGCCGCAGUAAGAC